rnacentral:rRNA from 1 species
AUUGAACGCUGGCGGCAGGCCUAACACAUGCAAGUCGAGCGGAUGAAGGGAGCUUGCUCCUGGAUUCAGCGGCGGACGGGUGAGUAAUGCCUAGGAAUCUGCCUGGUAGUGGGGGAUAACGUCCGGAAACGGGCGCUAAUACCGCAUACGUCCUGAGGGAGAAAGUGGGGGAUCUUCGGACCUCACGCUAUCAGAUGAGCCUAGGUCGGAUUAGCUAGUUGGUGGGGUAAAGGCCUACCAAGGCGACGAUCCGUAACUGGUCUGAGAGGAUGAUCAGUCACACUGGAACUGAGACACGGUCCAGACUCCUACGGGAGGCAGCAGUAGGGAAUAUUGGACAAUGGGCGAAAGCCUGACCCAGCCAUGCCGCGUGUGUGAAGAAGGUCUUCGGAUUGUAAAGCUCUUUAAGUUGGGAGGAAGGGCAGUAAGUUAAUACCUUGCUGUUUUGACGUUACCAACAGAAUAAGCACCGGCUAACUUCGUG